CUCAAUGUCCAAAGCACCCAACAGAAAGCGAAUACUACAAAAGAGGAAAAAAGAAUUAACAGUAAGUUGAUCCGAGUCAAGUACCAUUAUACCAAUUACUGCUAUCCAUUUUGCCAGGCAAAGUUUUUGUCAUAAAUCUAUUGUUUGAAGCAGGAAUGUUAAUAUAACAGCAACUCGAACACUUUAAAAGACCAUACCAAAAAAGAAAAAGAAAAAAACUGGUCUUGGAUUUAGAAUUUUUCUUGAUCUUUUAGCUUUAUCUUCAAUUUAUUAAAGGGCUCCAUCAACUAAAUACAUGAGAAUUAUUAAAUGCAUGAUAAAAAUGCAUGUGAGCACCGGCAAAUAAAAAAUCUUUAACAAUUAUUUAAACGAAGCAAGGUCCUCAAUUUCGCAAGUGUUGUGUGUGCAGAGGAUAAGCAAUAACUAAAUGGAUAAUAUAAAAAAAAAAUUAAUAAAGGGACAAGAAAAUAAACCGGGGUAGUGGGCACCGGGGGCUGGAGAGGAAGAAGCAGCAGCAUGGGUGGUGAUGGUGGUGGUCCUCUUGAUCUUCUUGGAUAUGCUGCUACUAGCAAUGCAACUGACUCUUGGCUUGUUCUUGUCCAAUUGUUUGAGAUUGUGGCGCCUAAAUUCAUAUGUGAACUUGAAAAAAUCUGAAUUUACAGCAACACCCAUUUUAGCAUUCUUAUAGAAAAUACAACUUUAGAUAUUCAACUUCAUAAUUCAAGCCACACACUCGAGCACCCCGAAAGACAGGAGAGUUCAAGAAGAGGAGAAUCACAGCACGUCAGAACCCAACUGACAAGAACACAACUGUUAACUUAAAGACAACGAUGUCGUUUCGGCAGCCGUAUCCCUACAGUGUUAGAAAAUAAUGAAUUAGUUUAUAAAUUUAUCACCUUUCUCAAAUUGGUCCUCGGAAAAUAUAAAGGGUGACAAAUUGAAACGACACGGCAUCUAUUAAAUUGAUCGACUGAAUUGACAAACACACGAACUAAUAAAAAAUUACUCGAACCAAUGUGAGCUUUUUUGAUGAUAACGCCUUACAUUUUCAUAAUAAAUUGGAAACUUUGAAGUGCUUGACUCGAACGAAGAUGGAGGCACUGGUGUGCAGGAAACUGGGCGAUCCAACGGUCUCAAUUCACGAUGAAAAAUCGCCGAUUCUGUUGAGUAAAACUGAGCCAAUUCCACAAUU
rnacentral:lncRNA from 1 species